AGAAGUUUCAUCUCGUUGGUUACAUAUAUUCUGCAAAUAUAUCUUUUUAUUCAUCCAAGUAUGCAUCUUUAUGGAGUUUUGUAGCUUGUGAUUAAGUGUUUAGUGUAGCCAAUCUUAAAGCUUCAUUCGUGAAGGAGUUUAAAUCUGGAGUUUAAGUCUGAACGUUCUUUAAGAUUUGAAUAGUUUUCAUUUUUGAAGGAUUUGGUAAAGAUCCCAACUUUUUAACGUUAACAUGUGUGGAUUCACAGGUUUAUUCUUUGGACUGGACACCUGAGAUGAACCAGAUUGUCAGUGCAUCUCAACAAGACACGCUCAGUUAGAAGAGAAAAGUGAUGGAAAAGGGAAAGACACAACCAAAGGGCCAAUUGAUAAAGUGCUGAACAUGCAAUUGUUUAGAUCUUGAAAAGGUCAGACUUUAAUAAUACGAUUAGUUAAAUUCUAUUUUUAUAUACUAAUAUAUAUCUAAAUUGGUAUAUCACUCUGCCCACCUGCACCAAACCAAACUCACACGCUCACAGGUUUAUAUAUACUCUUUAUGUAUAAUUUAGAUACUGAAAAUGUGGGAGAUUGGCACAUUUCUCCACUAGAGUUACUCCACAGUGGUCCUUUGAUUGAUUUUGAUCUUCUUCCAGGAUGUUGUUCUUCAAUGGCUGCCUUGAGUUUACCGUCUCUACCAAAUGUCCUUAUCUCAGACACUUGUGGAGAAGAUUAUGGUCUCUGUGAGUAACCAACUUGAACCGUAGAUCUACAUAGAUAGUUCGUUGUUUGUCUCAUAUAGUUUUGUUCAUCAAUUUCCAGGUCAAAGCUGCAGAGCCUUUUCCUUCAAUCGUUGCAGCAUCUAAAAGUAUUGCAGUGGUUUCAUCUGGAUUGUGUGGAGAUCACGGAGAUGCCAUACAUUUGACAACAAUAAUGCUACCGAUAUCAAUGAACAUAAAUUUUUCUCCAACUCUCUUUUUCAUGUUACCACCACUCCAUUAUAAGAAGCUAUCUAGAGAUUUUUUUUUUCUGUCAACAGCUAUCUAGAGAUUUCAUACUUCAUAAUAACUUUAAAAAUUGAAAAAUAAUCUACAUUUUCAUCUUUUUAGUAUCUAGAUCAAAAUCUAUUAACGACACAUUUAAUAAUUGAUGAAAUAUUUCUAAUUAUUUUCAAUCGAACCAAGUUCUUUUCAUCAAACUUUCUUUGAACAUAUAAUAAUAUAGUAAAUAAAUAUAAUUCAAAAAUAUAUAGAAUUCUGAAAAAAAAAAUAAGAGUAAGAGAUGUAAAGUUUUUUUUUUAACACGAGAUUAAAAGGUGCUUCCUACAUUAGAAAAAAAACAAUAGUUUGUUCCCCAAAAGUAUACAUAAAUUAACAAGAAAUUAAAAAAAAACACAACUAAUGACUAAUAUAUAAGCAGAACAGAAAUCUAAUUAGAAAUUCUGGAAAAUGAAAAAAAAAUAUAGAAAAUAUACAAAUGAAACUAUAAAACAUAUAGUGAAAGUGCACAAUAUAGCUUGAAUUUUUAAAAUUAGUCAACGAUUAAUAAUUGUGAAAAACAUCAUAUCAUUUUCAUAUAUAAAUUUCAAGCAUACAUAGAGAAACUCAAAAAGAUUUAAAAUGGAAAUCCAUUUAUGAUAUUGUUUUUAACGUUUAUCAAACCAAAGACAGCAAAAAUAAAAAAUAGUGAAUCUUACAUAACUUUUUUUUUCUAUUUUUAGUAACCAAACUGAAGUUUAUAGAAAUUAAUUAGAAAAAAUGAUGGAUAAACAAAAUUUAAAAUAAAAAGAAACACUUAGAAAAAUAAAAAUUCCCAACAUGUAAAGGAUAAAAAUUAAAAUUAUUCGAACUAAAUAAUAUAAUAAAAAAUUCACAAUAUAACCUAAAAUAUAUAACUUCAAAUAAUACAUAGGAAAAAUUCAUAAAAUCAAAUAUUAUUUAUGAUAAUGAUUUUCCACGUUAAAUCUAACCAAGCGGAGCCAGAGUUUAAAAGGAAAGUAGUGGAUCUUUUGGAAUUUUCUGUUUCUUAUGGUGGCAUUUAAGAUAAUGGAAAUUAAAAACAAACUCUUGGAAGACCGCAAUCAAGAAUUUGUAUAUAAUCAAAACCAAGAGUUAAAAAAUAGUAGGAAAAAUAAGCAAGAAAAAAAUAAAACAAUAAACUUGUGCUAAGUGCAUAAAAACUGUAGAACAAUUGCAAAAGAAAUGUGUGACACCAAGCACAAUUUUAAGGCUAUUACAUCCUAUCAAAUACUGAAAACACAUCCAGCUUCCUUACUGAACGAAUAAAGAAAACAACGUGUUAAAUCAAAACUUUGAUAAUACUAACAUCUUCAGAAACAAACACGAUAAAAUUUACAUGAAGAUAAAAGUAUAAACAUAUUUUAGAUAAGUCAAAUGAAAAUGGUUUAAGCAAAAAUACACACUACUCUAUUUUUACUUGAAUAUAUAGGAAAUAAUCAAUCACAUAUGAGGUUGUCUUUCUGGUAAUCAAAUAAACGCAAUACUAAUGAAUUGCGAUAAUUACAAAUGAAACAAUAUAAGGAUAUCUAUAUGAUAGAAAAUCAAACGUUCCUUGCGCGAUGUCCUUAUUAUGAAGAACAAGACAAAUGGAACUAAUAGGAUCUUUAUAAUGCCACCAAGAAGUUGCAAGUUCAAUGAUCUUGAAAAUAGAUGCAGUGAUUGUUUAUAUUAUAAGCAAAUAGGGAAAUUCUUGGAGACAGUUAACUCUCUAUAAGAACAGCCUCCAUUUAUGGAUCCAUUUCCGUUCUUUUCAAUUUUCCAUUCCAAUGGUUUCAAUUUUUAAUAGUUUUGCUUUGUUGAUCCCAUCACAGACGGUGUUUGAGUUUCCAUUACUUUUUUAUAAGAAAUGCAACAUCAAUUUGUUAAUUAUGAACUCUGAUUCAAUGAACAAAUCAAUUUGAUUGGUAUGCUAAAAAAUAAGAUUAUAAACAAAAAAAAAGUAAAUGACAACAAAAAUUAAAAUACGUAUUUCAAACAGUGAUAGUCUAAAAAUACAUUUCUUCUUUAAUAACACCUACUUAUUUUACGGUACACUUCCGUUAUUUAACUCAGCUUUUCAAUAACAUCUUCAGCAUACAGAUAAACUGUUACUAAAUGCAAUCAUCUAAACCCAAUUCCGUCAUACAAACGAUAAUCAUGCCAAUUACAUACUCAGCUUUGAGAGUCCAAAAUAUAACAAACCACAACUAGCCAGUCAAUCAUGGCUUAAAAACAUACAACUAAAAUACCAUUUAAACCGCAUCUAACCUAUAUAAUAUGUUAUACGUAGCAACCUAUUAAUAUAAACACAAACAACGAAAUCAAACAUAAUUAACUUUCGUAUACAUAAUCCUUCUACAACCUAACAUUCUUACAAACCAUAAACAUUGUUAUACACUUCUCUUGAAAAUGCUAAUAUGAAAUACACAUAAUAAGAAUAUACAAUAAUAAUAUAAUUAUAUAUAUGACACAAAAAGCAUAUCCUGCGAUAAGCAUAAGAUCAUUUUCUUUCGACGUAUUUUCAUUUUCAUUUCUGUGAACAUACUUCUUUUACUAAGACCAUAAAAUGAAUUGUAAAUUUAAGUAAGAAUAAAACAUACGAACCCGGUACGUAGCGCCGGAAUACCACUAGUAGUUAAUAAAUUAGGGUUUCGUAUGCCCUUAGUAGUAGAGUAUUAACAUUGAUAUCUUAUAUAAUAAAGUAGAGUAUAGUCUCUCCUUAUCCCUCCACAUCAUCUAGGAGCAUGGGGCAAAUUGAGACACGUGGACGCUUUAUGUUUUUAGAUUUACGCCUAUUGCUUCUGCAAUCAAUUGAAAUGGACCUUUCUAUAGCCCAGCAGAAAUAUUCCUCUAAUUAUACAUGUGAAUUAAAUCAAAUAAAUAACCUUUCACUUUCUUGCCGGCCAUGGAAAAAUCAAAACCUUAAUUUUCAUUCAUAAAACUCCACUUUACGCACGUUCUACAAGAGUAAAUCCCCUUUCAGUUAAAUUAGCAAACAAAAUCACUAAUCUCUUCAGAUUCCCUUGAAGAUUCCAAAAACCUGCGUGGUGAAGCAACCAUCUCUCUUCUUCGUUUAUACGUUUCUGUACCAGGGCGAGAUUAACUAAGAAACUGAUUAUUAUUUUAUCCUUCCCCAACUCUUUUAUGCAAGGUAAAUUGUCACUUUUAUUCUCUCUUUACAGCCCACUUUCAAUUACUGAAGGAAAGCAAUUUACAAGCUUUAAUCGGUAAUUCUCUCUUUUUGGCUUCCAUUUAAUCAGUUUUCUCGCAACAACUGUAAUCGAGAAUCAAAAGAACACAAUCAACGAAAUCAAGCCUAAGAAGAGAAGAAACAUUGUAUUUCAAACAAUACCCUUUAUCUAGGCAUGCUAUAUUUUUGACUGCUUAUCUUCAUCCCUCGAAAGUGGUCGUUAGACUGUAGUGGGUCUGGCCAAACUGCACCAGCGGGAUAAUUAGUUGAACUUCCAACAGAAGUUACAUGAUCAAAAGUUUUCUUUAAAGAGGUUAUAUUAAAAGAUGGUUUAUAAAGAGGAUCUACACUGGAAGAUACUACGCUAGAUCAAAAUUUCCCAUUAUUGGCUACACCGGAUGGUUUAUGUUACUCAAGAGAGGUGUUACUGGGGAAGAGUAUUCAGCAGAGUUGAGCUUUGUUUGCUGUUCUUCAGGAACGCAGUACCUAGAGGUAGCUUCUGGCUUUUUAAGAGUGAUGAAUAAAGUUUUUUAGUUUGAUUUGAGGAUUUCAUGAUUUGCCUUUACCAUAUCUUAUGAAGAAGCUGCAAUGGUGCAAGAAGCUGAGGAUCGCGCUCAUUGGUGAGAAAAAGUCUUAAUACUGAAUCAAAGCAACUUCGUGAAUUAAAAUGUUUUUCUUUUAGUAUCUAAACCCAUGGAAUUUUGAUUCAGCAGUUUAUGGAACUACAGAGGAACUGCUAGAGAUGAGGUUUACACUCUCUGUCUCCGAUUCUACUGAACAAUGAAUCCAUUUAUUAAAAACAUGUCGCUAAUUAUUUGCAGCCUAACAUGGACAAAUCUAAAUUGGAUACGAGAGUUUUACAAAGGAUAGUCAUGCAAUUCCACCAUCAGGUUAUAUAUCCCUUUUGUAAACUGUUUACAGACAUUUUUGAGUCUUCUACAGAUAUAGCAGUGCACAAUGGGAUUUACAAAAAGGAAUUAUAGCCAACCACCCGAGUUAAAGAUCAGUUUCAGCAUUAGAAUUUGGAGUGGACCCACAGUAAGCAUCUACUUCUUGGUCGAGAAUAAUUUCACCAUCCUUUUCUCUUUAAAUGACCUCCAUCAUAAUAUUUGUGGGGGAAUUAGAAGAUUCCAGUGGAAAUAAAAGUCACGUAAAUCUCCAAAAUUCUACUAUAUUCUUAUAAAGACUCUUUAUUGUUGGAUUGGAGCAGACUAAAGCAAUUUCAGAAAAAUGAUGCUGGCCUACUCAAUAUUGGGACACAAACGGUACAAUCAGAUAAAUAUAAUUUGCAAGUUCAUCUCUUUCAAUCCUUUUCACUUUUUUGUCUUCUUUGUGAUGUAGGCACAAAAAUGUUCAAGUGAUCAUUUGAUCUUUAGGUAUGAGAAACCGUUUUCUCUUUCAACAAAAUGGAGACUCUGUGACCUUUACUAUUACUCUUCCACUAACAGCAAUAAUUCUAUCAUUAGCUUUCUCCCCGUUUUCACGUCAGGUUUGCAACACCUAACUCACAAACCAAACACAAUAAACCAACUCUAUCACUUUAUGCUUACGAGUUAUUUUUUUCUACUACAAACCUGAAUAUAGCAAACUAUUAUAUUUGGCGGCCAGGAACCGUGUCUAAUUUGUAAGCUAUUUCGUAAGAUUUUAUGUUGUCUUCUCAGUUUCUUACAAGUUAACGAUUACGGCCAUAUUUUUGGUAUGAUGUUGUUGACUAAUCGAAGAAUGUAAUGAAACAGUGUUCUAAACUUAUGGGGAGCAGCGUGUUCUCUGGUAGCAUCUAUUAGCCAAGAAAGUAAGCAAACAAAAUGGUUACCCCCAUCAUAAUUAAAUUACCAACCAAUAUCUUUUCUGACAAGAUUACAAAGGUAGUCCUACUUAUUUCAUAUUAAAUAGCCUUUGUGUUGUUGAUGCAUGGCUAGGGAUUGAGAAGUUGAAGAACACUACAUAAGAAAAAAUAAUACAAUAGGAAUCGAUGCUUCCUACUAUCUCUUUGUAUUUGUUUAAUUACACAGAUCCAUGUCUAAGUUCUAAUCUUUCGACGUUUAUAUUUUUUUCCUAUGCGCAAGAUUUAAAGAUAGAUGGAGUGAUGACCAAGAGAAAUCCUACGACAUGUUCUCCAAAAUACUGAGUCGGUUGGUUAAAACUCUUACAUUUGUUUCUUCUUGCUGGUUAUCUUGCCUACUUGAGUAAAUAUAGGCGUUUGAUCUCUUUGUCUUUGAUUUCAUUCUUAUGGCACACAGAUAAUACUUCUGUCAGUUUUAUAUAAUUUGUUUCCGACAAUUCUUCAAUUGUAAGUCAUGCCAGCACUUCCUAGAACAAUCAGUCCAAAGGAGGGACGCUGAAAGAAAGAUGAUGGUCUUGGACAGGAUAACCUAAAAUGUUAACUACAAUUCUCGGGUUCUCUUUGGGGAUAACCCAAACUCGGAGGGAUCAUAGAUUCAUAGUCACAUCAAUGAUUCUCCAAAUUUCAGUAUUUAAAUUUGAACAUGCAAACCAUACUAUUUUGGUGUCAUUUAGUCAACAUGUGUAUCGUAUCUUAAUUAGUCUCACAUGCAUAUUGUAAAGUCUGUUAUGAAAGGAUGGUGUAAAUACAACACUCAAACUAGCAACUUAAUAACAAAAAUAAAUCAAUUUUUCAUGUGAUUACCUACCAUUAUAAUCACAUAACAACCUAAUACACAUCAUUAUAAUCACCGGGUCCUACCCUAUUAUUUUUGACAUAAAUGUAAAUUUUCAAAUGUUUUUAUAAACUAAAAUACAUUUUAAUAAAAAAAAUUAGUUUAAUUGUAAACUUACUCGCCCGUAGGUUGAGAAACAUGUGUUGAAAGAACACAGCUUGAAUAUGUGUUAGUUGAGAAAUAUAUCUCUAAGAAGUAUGUGUCGAUUAGGGGUGUCCUUGAUUCAAUAUAUAAAGCCUUCACUUAUAUAUGUAAAGAUACAAACUCAUUUUAUUAUCCAAAUUAUAUUUAAUUUGGUGCAACUGUCACCUAUAUAUUAUAUUAUCCAAAUUAUAUUUAAUUCUUACUUCAUUCAAAUAUGAGAUACAACUUACGAUAUUCAUUUUUUGCCUGGACAAUUACCAAAAAGACAAAUAUAUUACUAUCACUAACCAAUACCAAAUAGAUCAACAAAUCCUUAACAAUUUAUUAGCAACAAAACGUACGAACCCGGCGCGUAGCGCCGGAAUACCCCUAGUAUUUGUAUAAAGUCCUACAGUUCUGUCAGACACUUAAUACGAUAAAGAUUUAUGGUUAACUAUAAUUUAUUAGCAGCCAUCACAGAAACCAUAUUUAGUGUGUUAAAUCUAUGUGAAAACGUAAAUAUUUAAUAACAAUUUCGUUUACAUAUUUGGCAACAUAAUAUCGAUAAUCACUAAUUGAAAGGAUAGUAUCAAUGAAAAUAAAGGACAAAAUCACAGACUUGGUCACAAAAUUUCAAAUCAAAUUAAACUAUAAGAUAUUAUAAAUUAAAUUUAACUUACCAUAUCAGUCUAUCACGAUAAUUUUUCAUAACAUAUUUAAUUAUCUUGUAAUAAUUAGUAAAACUGACCAUAAAUUUAUCCUUCCCGUACAGUUCUAUGAAAAUCAAAUCAACCACAAACCGACUAUAAAUGAUUACAAACCGAAAGUACACAGUGAUUCACAUUUUUGUUUAAUAUUCUUGAAAUAAAUUUGAAAUACAUACUAAUUCAUUUUGAUAUUGAAAGAUUGAGCAAAGCUACAUACACUAACCUUCUAAUUAAUAAUCAUACUUAUUCUAAACAUAAGAAAUUCUUUUGCCCAUAAAGAUGUAAGAAGGUUAGUGUAUAUAAACGUAGGAAAAUUAUUUUGCUCAAUAAACAUAGAAAUUUUCUUGCAAUAGAAGUGAACUCAUAUACACAUAAGGAUGCAUAAUAAUACACAUCUUGAGAAUGGCAAAAAAAAUAAACAAUCGAAAAAUUAAUAUUUCUUAGGAAUGAAAUGACCCACAUAACAACUUAGAGAAUAUAUAUAUAUCAGAGAAUAAAGUGAAAGAUUUUUUUUUUGAAAAAGGGUUUUUAUUAAUAAUAUAUAUAAAUAUAUAUAUAUAUAUAUUUUACAUAUAUAUGAUAUAUAUACUGAUAAUAAAAACCCAACUAAAAAUCAAAUGGGCAUAAUUUUACAGACCCAAGAAGAAAGCAAGUCUAAAAACAAAGAAAACCCUAGGACUCCAAACUCUAUAGACAAAGCCGCCAUAGCCGCUAGAGAGACCACGGCGAGAAGGCCAGAUUCCGGCCAAUCGAAGCUGCUGCCUGAUUUGAGAACAUCUCACCGUCAAAGGACUGUCGAGGUAUAGGUGAAGACCAGAGGAAAGGGAAGAGAACCCAAGAGGCAAGACCAAUGCAGAACCGACAGAAUUCGUUGCCGAAGUCAGUCGCCUCAGGGAUCCUUGUUCACGCCUGUCCGCCGCCCUCAAACGAAAUGCUUACUGAUGUACCCGAAAGUUCAUGCAACCAUUUCACGCCUCUGCCUUGAAAGCCUCCUCUCCACCGAGAUCCACCACCCUUGUUCGCCUGAUCCAUAUCGCUCAUCACCAAAAAGCGGGCUCGAAUUGCAAGAUAUGUCCACCAAGUAAUGAGUUCUCGACUUGCAAAAAAAGAUUUUAAAGCAACUGUUGCUAUGAUAUUUAGUAAUGGACCAACGUUAUAUUUUAAAACUAUGGUUUAUAUAAAGUGCUCUAGAAUUCUUUUUAAAUAUGUUUAGAAGACAUACAGAACUGCCACAUAGGAUGUAGUUUUUGUUUAUUAAUACAAAUUUAAGGUUUUAAUGUUUUAAAAGAUUUUCAAUUAAUAUAUAGGGGAUUAGCAUAUUCACCCUUUUGUUGGCCAGUUAUAUAACUUUUAUGUUAAUUUCCUUGAAUAUUAUGAGAAUAUUGUUAAGGUUGUUGGUAAAAUUUUUAAUUUAACUAGAGAUGCAAAUAUAUAUGAGUUAUUCUUUGGUUUACCCCCUAGGGUGAAUCUAUAGGUUCACCAACCAAUCAGAUUUAGUUAUUUCAAAUUCGAUAUCUUUUAAAAAAGGAAACAAAAUAUUGUCAAAUUAUAUUACGUUUU